CCAGUCAGCACAAGACAGGGUUGCUGGGGCUCAUAACAGGGCAGCCCCUGGCCCAGACUUGGAAACUAGGGUGAGCUAAGCUGAGAUCAGAAAGAUAAGAACCUCACCAGACUAGGGUGUGGGCACAGGCAGGGGCCAGUGAACAGCAUAUGUAAGAGUCCUGAGGCAGAGCUGAAUUGGAGGACCAGAAAGAAGGCCAGCGUGAGUGGAGUCCCAAGGGAGGAGACAGAGAAGUGGCCAGGGCCAGAUGGAGAAGAAGCUGGUGGUCAGGGUUCAAGAGCAGAAAAGACACUCUUCCUACCCUGUUCCAACAGCCCAGCCUGGAUGGCAAAAGCGACAGACCCUCCCUCAGAGGGACAAGGAUGAGACGGCCGAACCAGUGCUCCUGCCCGGGCUCCACAGGCCCCUUUCCUCGCUGGCCCCACUGGAGAGGCAGGGGUUAAGCUCCAUGGCCUGUCCCCUCUGUCACACAUGUACCCUGCCAUCUCUGGGCUCAACUGUCGCUGCGCUGUAUCGGGACUCCAUCAGAGAGGCUCAGGCAGCAGCUUGCAGUGUUCAGGCCGGCGGUCUCGAGGGUGGCGAGUUCUUGCACUCCUACAACAGCGCUUGAGGACGGCUCUGUCCGCUGGCCUAUGCUGCAGCCUCCUCCUGCCCCUGCGGCAGAGGAGGGAGAGCCGUGGGCACAGCUAGCACUAGCACGUGUGGGUUCAGAGGUCUGAGCGGCCACUUCCCGCUUCCAGACCUCGGAUGCGACGCUCAUCUGCACGGUGUGGGCAGAGAUAACAUCCUCCCCAGAACAGCAUGGAAAUGUUUCAGCAGGGUGCUCGGCUUAGAUAAGUGCUCGGCAAACCAGAGUUGCCAUCAUGAUUCCCCCACGGCCCUCAAUCCUCUCCUCCCUGCAAAGCGUGCAUCCUUUUUUACCCCAUCUUCCACCCCUCCCAAUUUCCCUUUUGGCCUCAUCUUGGAGGCUGUAAGUCAGGGUGAAUCAUUCAUCAAAAUAUCUCACUCUUCCUCUUCCAGGGUUCCUGAUAUAAUUACCUCCCUCUUCGGUUUUGCUCCUGAUCCCUCUUCUGUUUUUUUCUGUGUGAACUUUAUUUUAACCAUCCUUUGUGUCUGUGAAUGUUUUUUUUUUUUUUAAAUCUUGCCAAUGAAAAUAACUUAAUUGCUUUUUCUGGUUUUUAAAGUAACACACGC
rnacentral:lncRNA from 1 species